GAUCCGUUCGAUCGGAGAACAACAUAACAUGGAGUGGAAUGACACGAUGAAUUUGAUGACAUCAGCAUGGUGGAGUAUGUUCCUCAAAAACAUGGAGGGUGACCUAUGUGAGAGCGAAGAAGUAGCUGACGAGGGGUUUCAUAUGUUUGAUGAGGUUUUUAAUUUGCCAUAUUGGUUGCAUAGUGAAGGGGAUGCUCCGCAGUCUUGCCUCUUCCAACAACAUAUGAAUAGCUACUACAAUGAAGAGGACUACUUGUAUGAUGCUGCCUUGCCAUGCUUUGACAUUGGAGAAAUUUAUGGUCAGGAUGGAGAUCGGGUUUAGGAUUCAGGAUUCAGCAUUCAGCGAGACUUAUCAUUUUUAAUAAAGAAUAAUUCAUCAUAAAUAUAAUAUUCUUCUCUUCCAUCUUUUGUAUUCCAAUAAAAAGCAUGCCAAAAUGUAAUGGCGAAAGGGAAAAUUAAAUACUUUGACUUGUCA